AGAGUUUGAUCCUGGCUCAGGAUGAACGCUAGCGGCAGGCCUAACACAUGCAAGCCGAGGGGCAGCGGGGCGUAGCAAUACGUUGCCGGCGACCGGCGGAAGGGUGCGUAACACGUGAGCAACAUUCCCGGAUCAGGGACAUAACCCGGAGAAAUCCGGACUAAUUUCCCAUGGUCCUCCAUUGGGACAUCCCCCUGGAGGUAAAGAUUCGUCGGAUCCGGAUUGGCUCGCGGGACAUUAGCUGGACGGCGGGGUAACGGCCCACCGUGGCGACGAUGUCUAGGGGCUCUGAGAGGAGUGACCCCCACAUUGGAACUGAGACACGGUCCAAACUCCUACGGGAGGCAGCAGUGAGGAAUAUUGGACAAUGGAUGGAAGUCUGAUCCAGCCAUGCCGCGUGAAGGAUUGAUGCCCUACGGGUUUUGAACUUCUUUUGUACGGGGGCAAUAAGGUCCACGCGUGGACCGAUGAGAGUACCGUACGAAUAAGCAUCGGCUAACUCCGUGCCAGCAGCCGCGGUAAUACGGAGGAUGCGAGCGUUAUCCGGAUUUAUUGGGUUUAAAGGGUGCGUAGGCGGCUUGCCAAGUCAGCGGUGAAAUCCGGGCGCCCAACGCCGGAACUGCCGUUGAAACUGGCGGGCUCGAAUGGUGCCGCCGCAUGCGGAAUGUGUGAAGUAGCGGUGAAAUGCAUAGAUAUCACACAGAACGCCGAUUGUGGAAACAGCAUGCGAGACACAGAUUGACGCUGAGGCACGAAGGUGCGGGGAUCGAACAGGAUUAGAUACCCUGGUAGUCCGCACAGUAAACGAUGAGGACUCGCCGCCCGGCGAAUACAGUGUCGGUUGGUCAAGCGAAAGCGAUAAGUCAUCCACCUGGGGGAGUACGGCCGCAAGGCUGAAACUCAAAGGAAUUGACGGGGGCCCGCACAAGCGGAGGAACAUGUGGUUUAAUUCGAUGAUACGCGAGGAACCUUACCCGGGCUCGAACGGUGGCGGAACGACGCAGAGAUGCGGAGGUCAGCAAUGACUGUCACCGAGGUGCUGCAUGGUUGUCGUCAGCUCGUGCCGUGAGGUGUCGGCUUAAGUGCCAUAACGAGCGCAACCCUUACCGCCAGUUACCAGCACGCGAAGGUGGGGACUCUGGCGGGACUGCCGCCGUAAGGUGUGAGGAGGGGGGGGAUGACGUCAAAUCAGCACGGCCCUUACGUCCGGGGCGACACACGUGUUACAAUGGCAGGCACAGCGCGCUGCCCGCGGGUGACCGCGGGCGAAUCGCCAAAGCCUGUCCCAGUUCGGACUGGAGUCUGCAACCCGACUCCACGAAGUUGGAUUCGCUAGUAAUCGCGCAUCAGCCAUGGCGCGGUGAAUACGUUCCCGGGCCUUGUACACACCGCCCGUCA
rnacentral:rRNA from 1 species